rnacentral:rRNA from 1 species
GACGAACGCUGGCGGCGUGCUUAACACAUGCAAGUCGAACGGAAAGGCCCUGCGUUUGUUGGGUUCUCGAUUGGCGAACGGGGGAGCAACACGUGAGUAACCUGCCCUUGACUUUGUGAUAACUUCAGGAAACUGGGGCUAAUACCGGAUAGGAGCUCCUGCUGCAUGGUGGUGGUUGGAAAGUUUCGGCUGUUGGGGCUCGACUCGCGGCUUAUCAGCUUGUUGGUGGGGUAGGUGCUUACCAAGGCUUUGACGGGUAGCCUGCCUGAGAGGGUGACCGGCCUCCAUGGGACUGAGGUACGGAGCAGUCUGCUACGGGAGGCAGCAGUCGGGAAUAUUACACAAUGGGCGGAAGCCUGAUGCAGAAACGCCGCGUGCGGGAUGACGUCCUUCGAGUUGUAAACCGCUUUCGAAUGUGACGAAGCGUGAGUGACGGUAAUGGGUAAAGAAGCAACGGCUAACUACGUG